UUCAAGGUCGGCGAGUUUCCGGUGGAAACUUACUGGUCUUAAACGGUGGAGUAGCCUCACGUCACCGCCAGUGCAAUAGUGGGAUGGUGGAAAGUGGACGCGCUUUGCUUUUACUGGAUGACACGCAUCUGUAGAUGCGCAUCCAUGCAGACAGCUUCUUUCACGGAACCGCUGUCGCUGUUGUUGGUAUUGUUGUUGAGGCGAUGUCGAAGGGAGCGGAAAUGGUUCAGAUCCGGCAUGCGACAACCAAUUCUGAAGUUUUAAGUACCACUGCAGCAGUAAUGAAAAUGUUCAGGAAACGUGCACGGAGGUUGUGCUGGCUAUUGGAACGUAACACACGUCUAACAAAGCGUUAUGAAUAACAGGUUUGCACUUUUUUGCAGUGAUGAAUCAGUCACUCCGGCCCACUGGCGUCGCCAUACUUUAAUGUUGAUGUGUUUCCGGCAUGUGCAUCGGGAAGUGGCAUAGUCGUUUAUGCUCGGCGGACUGCGAUAUCAAGUGAUGUUGGUUGUAUCAGCUAAUCUGCUUUGCACGGCUGCACUCUUAGUGCUCAUUUUGAGCAGAAACAGAUUUGCCGGGUCAAGGGCACGGUGUUGGUGUUCCAAACUUUGGCCAGGAUAAAAUACCGAGAGACCAUCUACAGUGAAACGGCCUAGCGUGGCGGUAUGUCAGGAUAUCUGACUUCUAGAACAUCUAACUGUAAGUAUGGUGUAAGUGGACUUACCGCCGACCGGAAACGACUUCCGGUUGAACUUGAAACUUGCAAAGCGGUAUUAAGGAAACGCGGUAUAUGCAGCCAUGGAAAGUCGGCAGGAAUGUCCGCAGAGCGCAAAAUACGGUCAACACCUUGACCUGAUUACAGUAACGUUAAAGCGACAAGAAGGCUAGGAUGGCUGAUAAAGUAAAGGGACAACCAUAAGGUGUAACGGUGCCAGUCCGGAUUGCAGGACUACAGAUAUACCUCCGUAGCUUACGUAUCGAAAACGAUAAGAAUACUAACGCGCUAUGCGUGGCUUGCGCGUAUUACGUAUGUGUUAUGACGUACGUGUUGUCUGUUCCGUUACGUAUGACUUGCUGUUCUUAUCUAACGCAUUUUGAUCGCUAAUUUCAUCCAUGAUUCUGGUUUAACGAAUGAGUCUGAAAUUUCUAACUUCACAUAAAUCUGUGAGCUUGUUUCUAG